UACGUAGGUGGCAAGCGUUGUCCGGAAUUAUUGGGCGUAAAGUGCGCGCAGGCGGUCCUUUAAGUCUGAUGUGAAAGCCCACGGCUCAACCGUGGAGGGUCAUUGGAAACUGGGGGACUUGAGUGCAGAAGAGGAGAGUGGAAUUCCACGUGUAGCGGUGAAAUGCGUAGAGAUGUGGAGGAACACCAGUGGCGAAGGCGACUCUCUGGUCUGUAACUGACGCUGAGGCGCGAAAGCGUGGGGAGCAAACAGG
rnacentral:rRNA from 1 species